rnacentral:lncRNA from 1 species
UGAGUCGGCUACUUAGGGAUAUGAAAAAUAAAAGAACAAGAUGUAUCAAACUUGUAAUAAAUUUGUAAUAAUUUGAUUGUAUUUGGAAGUAAGAAUCAAGGAAUCAAAUGUGAUGUAAUCUAAGAAUGUAAAAAUGUAAUAUGUGAGAUGAAUGCUUAUAAUAGCAAGUAGAAUUAUGUUUUGAUACUUCCUUAUGCAAUCUUUGAUUGAAAUGUGUUCCUGGUUGGAACUUCGUACAUUGUAUUGAUUGCGACGCCUUGAAUGUACAGGGGAGACUCUGUCUGCGGUACAGAAAAAAUCCUGUCCGUUUGGCGGUCUGUUGGCGUACCCGAAACUGACCAAAUAGGCGGGCUCGGGGUGUGACAAAACCUUCCCAAAUCACAAAAC